rnacentral:rRNA from 1 species
GACGAACGCUGGCGGCGUGCUUAACACAUGCAAGUCGAACGGAAAGGCCCUGCUUUUGUGGGGUGCUCGAGUGGCGAACGGGUGAGUAACAAGUGAGUAACCUGCCCUUGACUUUGGGAUAACUUCAGGAAACUGGGGCUAAUACCGGAUAGGAGCUCCUGCUGCAUGGUGGGGGUUGGAAAGUUUCGGCGGUUGGGGAUGGACUCGCGGCUUAUCAGCUUGUUGGUGGGGUAGUGGCUUACCAAGGCUUUGACGGGUAGCCGGCCUGAGAGGGUGACCGGCCACAUUGGGACUGAGAUACGGACCAGACUCCUACGGGAGGCAGCAGUGGGGAAUAUUGCACAAUGGGCGGAAGCCUGAUGCAGCAACGCCGCGUGCGGGAUGACGGCCUUCGGGUUGUAAACCGCUUUCGCCUGUGACGAAGCGUGAGUGACGGUAAUGGGUAAAGAAGCACCGGCUAACUACGUG